GAGGGAGGCAUGCAGAGGCGCUUUCAGAGGAAGUUCUUGCUGCUGCGGUGGGACAGAAGCAGCUGGGAUGGCUGACCAUCCUGAUAGGCCUUGGAGGCAGGCGGCAACGCUCUCCAUGUAUCACUCGCCAGCCGUGCAGUCCUCACUCGCUUGCCCAGGAAGGGAAGUGUCACCAGCCUCAACUACUACUCCCCACCCCCUGCAACUGCCAUUCUUUCUGACUUGUCUCUAGAAAAGGCCAUGUGACCUCUCCCUCAGACUGACCCAUUGUCCCAGUCAGAAUGUCCAGCCAAGGCAGAAUAAAGCAUCUACUGGACCUAAAGGAUGCCCCUGAUAUCUCCCAACUGGCUUCUGAACGGAUCCCCUAAGGGAACUUUAUCAUAGACACAUUUAAAAUGCCAAGAAUGAAUUGAUGUGUGCAUUCACCAAAUUUCAGUGUCAGUGCUAGACGCAGAUUUACAGCUCAAAUGAAGUCUGUUUAAAAAAAAAAAGAAGAAGAAGAAGAAGAAAUUCCACUUUCUUCUCUAGCUGUGAAAAUAUUCUCUGAGGAGUCUCCUGUCUGAACACCUAUAUGGCCAAGAGUAGAAUUUAUCAGAGCAGAUGUGAGAGUAAGAGUCUAGUGUUAUUCUCUAUUGCCAUGUAACAAAUUACCUCAAACUUAGAAGUUUAGAACAACAAACAUUUAUUAUCUCAGACAUCUAUUCCUGAGGGUCAGCAAUCCAAGAGCUGCAUAGCUGGGCGAUUCUGGCUCAGGGUUUUUCAUGAGGUUAUAGUCAAGUUGUCAACCAGUCCUACAUUCAUAUGAAAGCUUGACUCAGGCUGGAGGAUCCACAUCCUCAAUGUCGCCUAAUUUCUGACUGGAGGUCUUGGGUUCCUAAUGGCUGUUGGCAGGAAGCUUCAGUUUCUCUCCACAUGGGCUUCUCCAUGGGGAUACCUGAGUGUUCUCAUGACAUGGCAGUGGGCUACCCCCAGGACAUGUGAUCCAAGAAAGAGCAGGACAGAAGCCUUGUCUUUCAAAAUCUAGCCUCAGGAUUGAUAUACCAUCAAUCUGCUGUACUCUGGUGGUCGCAUAGACUAACUCUGAUAACAUGUGAGAAAGAAAUACACAAGGGCCUAAAUAGUGGGAGGCAGGGAAUCCUUUGCCUUUGGGAUUCUCUAGUAGCCACCUUUAAGGCUGGCUACGACAUAUUAGGUGGUAAAUGCAAUGGAACUCAUGACUUCAAUAUGUAGAUUAAAAAUAGAAUUACUAAAAAA
rnacentral:lncRNA from 1 species